CAACGCGACAACAAAGGGCUGGCGUUUUACAACACUGAAGCGUGCCAUUAAAAUUUUUCUUUGCACUUGAAUUUGCGCAAUCAGCUACAUAUGUUUGCAUACAAAGGAAAAACGCCUGCGAAUGCAAAUUGCCUGUGGGCAGCAAACAGACGGCUGCAAAAGCAAAAGAAGAAGAGCAUCCAGCUAAAGCUUUUUUAUUUAUUUUUUUUUUUAAAUUGGAGCGCGUUCAAAGAUUCUCCCACAGCCCACUGCACUAGUUUCCAAUGCCAAUGCUAGCACCUAUUGAUGUCGAGAGAUGACAAUAAUGUUGUCUGCGCUUCGUUAUGUGUUGCUCUUGCCAUACCCUGUACCCAUUGAAAAUGUAAAGGGUAUUCUAGUUUUGGGCAUAUAUGUAUAGUAAGAGGACGGAAGCAUCAACAAGCAAAACAUGUCUACCAACCACAUUUUCGAUAUAUUUUCCAUCUUUUCUUAUGGUAUACACAGAUUAAGAAUAUUUUUACUCUUUACCCUAGUUCCUCAAUUUUUCUGCUUUCGUUACACACAUAUUUGGCUGUCCUUCUACGUUCCGCAAUUUUGACAAGGAUCUGGCUUUAAACACCGAAGCUAUUGAAAAUGCAUUUUCCCAUAAUAUGGGAAAAGGGUAAAUAAUCAAAGACGGAUUGGCUGCCAGCUGUGAGCACCAGAUGGCUGGGCCAGUUGAAGACUCAUUUCGGGGCAGACGACCUGAUGCCAGAAGGCGGGCACAGGCAACGCUAAUGCACCACCUACUGCUACUGGCACAAACACGAGGAGGCCGCAAGGAAACAAAGCGCGAUUUCAUUAGGGAGUGUGCAAAAUGGAAAGGAAAUAGAGCACGCAGCGCGAGGGUAAGACGCCUGCCAAGCGUUUCGUUUGUUCAAAGACAAAGGACAAUGCUAAACUGAGUUGUAUGGCUUUCUAACGACGUGGUCCUGCGGUGCAGCGGGCCGAGGAACAAGUCAGCACUCAAAGGAGUAACGCACCGUGAGAGACCGACAGGUGUGGUCCGGCCUAGGUUCAAAUCUUAAGCCAAGCCCUGUCUUAUCUGGCACAGCUUAUCAGCUGUCCACUUGGCACCUGCCCCGCAUCUUGGCCAACAAUUAACCAUACAAAUAAACCCAUUUUGUAGUAAAUAUGCUCAUGUCAUCUAAAAUCACGAUCACAACGUUGUCGUAUGUGAAUUCCAGCCUGGACGGCAGCAGCCGCUGGCAAACACAAAUAAAUUCAGGUGCUAAACGUGAUGUGCGUGUCCAAAUGACAUUUCAUUUAUCUGUAUGUGGUUUCUCAAAAACCUCGACCCACGGGCCGAGCCGAUAUUUGUUCAUAGUUCAUGUAUUUACCAACAACUUGGCAAACGCUUAACAAGUGUCUGCGCUUUUUGUUUGUAUUUGCAUUUAGGAAAGGUUGAUAACAAGAUAAUAAAAUAUAUACAAUAUUUUUGUUUGAUACUUUGACUGUUUAUCCCACGGGUUAUCCUUUUUUGUUUAAGCGAUUUGGUUGGGUGCCAAAAGCAUUUUUGUACUGAUAAGUAAAAGUGCCUUAUAUGAAAAUGCUUAAAAAUGAAAAACAUAAUGUAAUCAGCUUUGGACGGCGACUUUUCCUUUAAAUGUAGACUGCUUUUCCACUUAUUUAAGUGGAUCUUGGACAAUCGGUAAAUCGUCUACACAACUCCCAUUUUCCUCCCAGGUGAGUUGGUUUUCGAAAAGAUUAAUCGAGUUUCAACAUGACUCAAUUUGAGCUGAUUUUCACAAAAUUUUUCACAGGUGCAGAUGGAAUUUUCCAAAACCUUAUCUUACAGUCAGAAAUCUAAUUCCUAGCUCCUACGGCUUGGGCUGUGCUUGUUGAUCAUCAAUCAGGACAAAUAGUUUUAUGCAGUAAAUCUUAAUGGAAACUCUGGAGUGCUUUGUAUUGGGCAUUUACAAGAGGCCGUGAUGCGCGCUCUUCGGCUCGUUCGCUCCGGCAUCCAAUUUGUAAUCUACCCUCAUAUCGUAAGGCACAUGCCAAUACAAUAACUGAAAACAUUUUUGGCUGCAGGUCGACUUACCUACUGGAUCAAACACUAAAUCCUUAAACAAAGGACAACAUGGCAAAAAAAAAAAGAGUAUUAAAGCAAAAUAGAAGCAGAGUUUUGCCUUUGGCACAAGGACAGGUGAUGAGCGUCUUCCCACAAUUUUUUUGUGCACGUCGAAUGCCACACAGGACUCUGAAGUCAGGAGUGGAACCUGUGCCUAGGACACCGAUGCCUAACGCUAUUAUUCGCAAAAAAGACAAAAAGAAGUGCGCACAAAAGCGGGCAGCGAGGCAGCUGACAAAUCUGAAGAGAUGAAGAUGCUAUUAGAAAUCUAGGGGCAGGCAGAGAUAUGCCAGCCAGCUGCCUGGCUUGGGCUCGGGCUUAGGCCUCGCACCGUCCUUUUUCAUUUUUGGCAAGGUGCUUGCCUUGAUUGCGUCAUGUACAGUGUGCCCCGGCAAGGUGGUCUGUUAUGCCGUAGUCUGUUAGAGCGAACUGUCAACAUAAAUCUUGCUUAUAUAUAUUAGUAUAUAUAUAUUUUGUCAUAAUUCAGUGAAGAGGCAGCGAGGGAGUUGGAGAUUUUUUUAAUUGAUUGGGAGCGGAAGUGGCUGAGCAUCGCAACAUAAUGGUCUAUACCUAUUAUUAAUUGUCAUAAAUCUUGAUGAAAAUAAAGCAUAA